rnacentral:rRNA from 1 species
CCUACGGGAGGCAGCAGUGGGGAAUUUUCCGCAAUGGGCGAAAGCCUGACGGAGCAAUACCGCGUGAGGGAAGAAUGCCUACGGGUUGUAAACCUCUUUUAUCAGGGAGGAACAAAAUGACGUGUACCUGAUGAAUAAGCAUCGGCUAACUCUGUGCCAGCAGCCGCGGUAAGACAGAGGAUGCAAGUGUUAUCCGGAAUUACUGGGCGUAAAGCGUCUGUAGGUUGUUGAACAAGUCAACUGUUAAAUCUUGAAGCUCAACUUCAAAAUCGCAGUCGAAACUGUUUGACUAGAGUAUAGUAGAGGUAAAGGGAAUUUCCAGUGGAGCGGUGAAAUGCGUAGAUAUUGGAAAGAACACCGAUGGCGAAAGCACUUUACUGGGCUAUUACUGACACUCAGAGACGACAGCUAGGGUAGCAAAUGGGAUUAGAUACCCCAGUAGUCCUAGCCGUAAACUAUGGAUACUANAUGUUAGUACAGAUACGACCUCGUGCAGUAUUAAGUACUAACGUACGUUAAGUAGUCCGUCCCGGACGUAGUAGCGUCGCGAGAGUAGUAACGUACGAAAGUUAAAGUUAGUACGGACGUUGAGACGNGCCGACGGACGACGACGAGGGAGGAGG